rnacentral:tRNA from 2 species
UCCCGCGUAGCUCAGUUGGUAGAGCGGUCGGCUGUUAACCGAUUGGUCGUAGGUUCGAGUCCUACCGCGGGAGCCA